GAUGAACGCUGGCGGCGUGCUUAACACAUGCAAGUCGAACGAAGCAUACGAAUUGGAUUUCUUCGGAAAAAAGAAUCGUAUGACUGAGUGGCGGACGGGUGAGUAACGCGUGGGUAACCUACCUCAUACAGGGGGAUAACAGUUAGAAAUGACUGCUAAUACCGCAUAAGCGCACAGGACCACAUGGUUCGGUGUGAAAAACUCCGGUGGUAUGAGAUGGACCCGCGUCUGAUUAGCUAGUUGUGAAGGUAAUGGCUUACCAAGGCGACGAUCAGUAGCCGACCUGAGAGUGUGAUCGGCCACAGUGGGACUGAGACACGGCCCAAACUCCUACGGGAGGCAGCAGUGGGGAAUAUUGCACAAUGGGGGAAACCCUGAUGCAGCGACGCCGCGUGAAGGAAGACGUGUUUCGGCAUGUAAACUUCUAUCAGCAGGGAAGAAAAUGACGGUACCUGACUAAGAAGCCCCGGCUAACUACGUGCCAGCAGCCGCGGUAA
rnacentral:rRNA from 1 species